rnacentral:rRNA from 1 species
UACAGAGGUCUCAAGCGUUGUUCGGAUUCAUUGGGCGUAAAGGGUGCGUAGGCGGCGCGGUAAGUCGGGUGUGAAAUCUCGGAGCUUAACUCCGAAACUGCAUUCGAUACUGCGGUGCUUGAGGACUGGAGAGGAGACUGGAAUUCAUGGUGUAGCAGUGAAAUGCGUAGAGAUCAUGAGGAAGACCAGUGGCGAAGGCGGGUCUCUGGACAGGUCCUGACACUGAGGCACGAAGGCCAGGGGAGCAAACGGG